rnacentral:rRNA from 1 species
AGAGUUUGAUCCUGGCUCAGGAUGAACGCUAGCUACAGGCUUAACACAUGCAAGUCGAGGGGAAACGACAUCGAAAGCUUGCUUUUGUAUGGGCGUCGACCGGCGCACGGGUGAGUAACGCGUAUCCAACCUGCCCACCACUUGGGGAGUAACCUUAGCGAAAGUAAAGACUAAUACCCAAUGAUAUCUCUAGAAGACAUCUGAAAGAGAUUAAAGAUUCAUCGGUGAUGGAUGGGGAUGCGUCUGAUUAGCUUGUUGGCGGGGUAACGGCCCACCAAGGCAACGAUCAGUAGGGGUUCUGAGAGGAAGGUCCCCCACAUUGGAACUGAGACACGGUCCAAACUCCUACGGGAGGCAGCA